rnacentral:rRNA from 1 species
GACGAACGCUGGCGGCGUGCUUAACACAUGCAAGUCGAACGGAAAGGCCCUGCUUUUGUGGGGUGCUCGAGUGGCGAACGGGUGAGUAACACGUCAGUAACCUGCCCUUGACAUUGGGAUACCUUAAGGAAACUGGUGCUAAUACCGGAUCGGAGUUCCUGCUGCAUGGUGGGGGUUGGAACGAUUCGGCGGUUGGGGGUGGACCCGCGGGUUAUCAUGUUGUUGGUGGGGUAGUGGCCUAACAAGGCUUCGACGGGUGGCCGGCCUGGGGGGGUGACCGGCCACAAUGGGACUGAGAAACGGCCCAAACUCCUACGGGAGGCAGCAGUGGGGAAUAUUGCACAAUGGGCGGAAGCCUGAUGCAGCAACGCCGCGGGCGGGAUGACGGCCUUCGGGUUGUAAACCGCUUUCGCCUGUGACGAAGCGUAAGUGACGGUAAUGUGUAAAGAAGCACCGGCUAACUACGUG